rnacentral:lncRNA from 1 species
CUGAGAUUCCUCAAAAUAAUAACAUAUUGGAGUACAUGUGUUAAAAAUUUGCUUAAUGUCCAGUGGCAAAUAUUACAUGCAUGUUCAAAACAAUUGUUAAAUAAGUACAAUAGGUAAGUCCUGUAAAAGAUGUCAUCUGGGGUGAAAGAAGGUCAAUGAAACUUGGACUGCCACUGGACAACGAAAGCAUAUUGAAGGUGGACAGGAAUUUGCCCUCCUGCAUAUUCAGACAAAAGGCCACCCAUGGCCUCUAAAAGAGUUGUUGCAAUAGUUAUUAACCUGCAGAGAUCAUGGCACUCUCUUUCUAUACAUGCUAUAUGAGGCAUCCGAUUAAAGGUGACCAAUCUUACAUUUGUUGAAAAUUAAACAUCCCGC